UGGGGAAUAUUGGACAAUGGGCGAAAGCCUGAUCCAGCCAUGCCGCGUGUGUGAAGAAGGUCUUCGGAUUGUAAAGCACUUUAAGUUGGGAGGAAGGGCAUUAACCUAAUACGUUAGUGUUUUGACGUUACCGACAGAAUAAGCACCGGCUAACUCUGUGCCAGCAGCCGCGGUAAUACAGAGGGUGCAAGCGUUAAUCGGAAUUACUGGGCGUAAAGCGCGCGUAGGUGGUUUGUUAAGUUUGAUGUGAAAGCCCCGGGCUCAACCUGGGAACUGCAUCCAAAACUGGCAAGCUAGACUACGGUAGAGGGUGGUGGAAUUUCCUGUGUAGCGGUGAAAUGCGUAGAUAUAGGAAGGAACACCAGUGGCGAAGGCGACCACCUGGACUGAUACUGACACUGAGGUGCGAAAGCGUGGGGAGCAAACA
rnacentral:rRNA from 1 species